CGGUGGAGUAUGUGGUUUAAUUCGAUGCAACGCGAAGAACCUUACCUGGUCUUGACAUCCCGGAGACCCUUAGGAAACUAGGGGUGCUUCCAUCUGGAAGAAUCUGGAGACAGGUGCUGCAUGGCUGUCGUCAGCUCGUGUCGUGAGAUGUUGGGUUAAGUCCCGCAACGAGCGCAACCCUUGCCUUUAGUUGCCAGCAGUUCGGCUGGGCACUCUAAAGGGACUGCCGGUGUUAAACCGGAGGAAGGUGGGGAUGACGUCAAGUCCUCAUGGCCUUUAUGACCAGGGCUACACACGUACUACAAUGGCCGAUACAAAGGGCAGCGACACUGCGAGGUGAAGCCAAUCCCGUAAAAUCGGUCUCAGUCCGGAUUGGAGUCUGCAACUCGACUCCAUGAAGUUGGAAUCGCUAGUAAUCGUGGAUCAGCAUGCCACGGUGAAUACGUUCCCGGGCCUU
rnacentral:rRNA from 1 species